CGUAAACAGAGGGAAGCGAGCCUGCGAGGGGGAGCGAAUCCCAAAAAUAACGUCCCAGUUCGGAUUGUAGUCUGCAACCCGACUACAUGAAGCUGGAAUCGCUAGUAAUCGCGGAUCAGAAUGCCGCGGUGAAUACGUUCCCGGGUCUUGUACACACCGCCCGUCACACCAUGGGAGUCGGAAAUGCCCGAAGCCUGUGACCCAACCUUAGGGAGGGAGCAGCCGAAGGCAGGUCGGAUGACUGGGGUGAAGUCGUAACAAGGUAUC
rnacentral:rRNA from 1 species